CAGCAGCCGCGGGAAUACGUAGGGUGCGAGCGUUAAUCGGAAUUACUGGGCGUAAAGCGUGCGCAGGCGGCUUUGCAAGACAGACGUGAAAUCCCCGGGCUCAACCUGGGAACUGCAUUUGUGACUGCAAGGCUAGAGUGCGGCAGAGGGAGAUGGAAUUCCGCGUGUAGCAGUGAAAUGCGUAGAUAUGCGGAGGAACACCGAUGGCGAAGGCAAUCUCCUGGGCCUGCACUGACGCUCAUGCACGAAAGCGUGGGGAGCAAACAGGAUUAGAUACCCGCGUAGUCCCUGUCUCUUAUAC
rnacentral:rRNA from 1 species